UACGUAGGGUGCAAGCGUUGUCCGGAAUUACUGGGCGUAAAGAGUGUGUAGGCGGUGCUCUAAGUUCGGUGUGAAAUCUCCCGGCUUAACUGGGAGGGUGCGCCGGAAACUGGAGUGCUCGAGCGUGGGAGAGGAAAGCGGAAUUCCUGGUGUAGCGGUGAAAUGCGUAGAUAUCAGGAGGAACACCUGCGGUGUAGACGGCUUUCUGGACCAUUGCUGACGCUGAGACACGAAAGCGUGGGUAGCAAACAGG
rnacentral:rRNA from 1 species